rnacentral:rRNA from 1 species
UACGUAGGGGGCAAGCGUUGUCCGGAAUCAUUGGGCGUAAAGCGCGUGUAGGCGGUUCGGUAAGUCGGCUGUGAAAGUCCAGGGCUCAACCCUGGGAUGCCGGUCGAUACUGCCGGACUAGAGUUCGGAAGAGGCAACUGGAAUUCCCAGUGUAGCGGUGAAAUGCGUAGAUAUUGGGAAGAACACCUGAGGCGAAGGCGGGUUGCUGGGCCGACACUGACGCUGAGGCGCGAAAGCCAGGGGAGCGAACGGG